rnacentral:rRNA from 1 species
AUGGUGGACACUCCCCGUAGUUCCGCCGACGGCAGCGGACGGGGAAAGGGCGGCGGGAAGCGCGCGUCGUCGUCGUCGCCGCCGCAGCCCCCGUCCUCCGCCUCUCCCAUCAAGCGCUCCAAGGCGGACGCGACGGGGAAGGGGAAGGAGAAGGAGAAGGCGGAGGCGGACAAACCCCAGGAGAAGGCGCCCGUCGCCGCGGCGGCGGCGGCGGAGAAGGCGACGACGAGCUCGAGGCGUGCUGUGGAGGAGGAGGCGUGCAAGGCGCUCGCGUCAUUGGCCGCGCAGAACAGGCUGGCUGCGGCGGCGACGGGGUCGCAAGCGAGGCAGCCGCCCAACCCGGGGCCGUGGGCGAGGCUGCUGUCACAGUUCUCGGAGAUUCCUCAUCUCACCAUCAGUGACCGUCCAUGUCCUAUCAGUUUCAAUAGCGCGACUCUAUGCAUGUUGCGGCACCUUGAGGAAUCGGGCCAGUGUCUAUUAGAUGUCACAGGAGAACAGGGGUGGGUUCAAGUAAAUCGUAGGAACAUCAUCAAGGGCACCACAACUCCCCUUGCCGAUGGGGAUGAAGUUAUCAUUUCACAUUACAAGAAUGCCUACAUUUUCCAGUAUCUUUUAAAUGGCAAUGAAGCGCCGAUCUCUGUAUCAGCUGGAGAGAAUAACCAGGGAGUAUCUCAAACUUUUAAGGAUGGAUUGAAACGAGGAAUUCUUUGUCCAGAUGCUAUUCAAGUUACUCUUGACAAUUUCCCCUACUAUCUUAGUGAGAAUACAAAGAGCAAACUCUUGACAACUGCAUCCAUACACAUGGAACACAGGGGGAAAAGGUUCAUCAGAAGUUUAUGGGGAAUUUCGUCUCUAAACCAGCGAAUUCUGUUAUCUAGUUCAUCUGGGACCGAAAUUUAUCAGGAAACAAUUGUAAAGGCCCUUGCAAAGAAGUUUGGUGCCAGACUUCUCAUUGUUGAUUCUCUUCUGCUUCCUGCUGCCAGAUGUACCAAGGUUCCAGAAUCGCCCAAUGGUGUAACUUUUGGAAAAGGGAGUAGGGUAAAGUAUAUUGGCCCAAUUACAAAACCUCCCUUUCACACAUUUAUGCACAGGGGGCCAAGUAAUGGUUGUCGGGGCAGAGUGAUGCUUGCCUUCGAAAACAAUGUCAGUAGUUUCCGUAAAGUUGGAGUUAGAUUUGACAAGCCGAUUCCGGGUGGUAAUGAUCUUGGGGGUUUGUGCGACAAACAUCAUGGCUUCUUUUGCCCUGUUAAUGAACUUCUCCCAAGCUCUUCUAGUGAUAAACAAUUUGGUACAGACGAGUUAAAUCAGGUCAUUUCGGAAGAAAGCAAAAGUAGCACUUUGAUUGUGUUCGUUAAGGAUUUAGAGAGAACGCUGACCAGAAGUCCAGAAUCACAUGAAUCACUAGGGAAGGAACUUCCACCUGGUGUUCUAAUAAUUGCUUCUUACACUUGGGCAACCAGCCAGAUAGAUAAGUCACCUCCAAAAGGAUUAUCUUUUCCGGCGCUUGGUAAUGACGCCCAGGCCCUUAUUAACUCUUUAUUGGGGUCUUCUGGAAGUAAAUUGCAAGAAAGAAACAAUGAUUACUCAAUAAAGCAUCUAACUAAGCUUUUCCCUAACAGAAUUUACAUCGAACCUCCGAAGGACAAAGCACAGCUAUCAUAUUUGAACCAACAAAUAAGACUUGAUGCUGAAAGCCUUAGAGCUAAAGCCAAUGUUCUUAGUAUUCGCAAGUUUCUGACCCAAUGUGAAAUUGAAUGCCACGAUGUUGAAGAAUUGCCAAUUACGGACCGACUACUGACUCAUGAUGAUGUGGAUAAAGUUGUUGGUUAUGGGAUUUCUUAUCACCUUGAGCACGAUAAACCCAAUAUGGAUGCCAAACCUGUACUUCCAACAGAAAGUCUGAAGCAUGGACUCGAACGUAUACAGAGCGAGAGCAUGGCCAGUAGUAGCUCAAAGAAAGCACUGAAGGACGUGGUCACAGAGAAUGAGUUUGAGAGAAGCCUUCUGUCGAAUGUUAUUGCACCCCAUGAAAUUGGAGUAACCUUUGACGAUAUCGGAGCCCUGGAGUGUGUAAAAGACACGUUAAAGGAAUUGAUUAUAACUCCUCUAAAAAGACCUGAAUUGUUCAGCAAGGGGCAGCUAUUAAAGCCUGCGAAGGGAAUAUUGCUCUUUGGACCUCCCGGCACCGGUAAAACAAUGCUCGCAAAAGCAGUAGCCACAGAAUCAGGUGCAAGCUUUAUGAACGUAUCCAUGUCAAGCAUCGCGUCAAAGUGGUUUGGGGAAGGAGAGAAAUAUGUAAAGGCCAUUUUCUCUUUGGCAAGUAAACUAUCUCCUGCUGUAAUAUUCCUUGAUGAGGUUGACAGCAUGCUAGGAAAGAGGCAAAAUCGAGAAGAGCCAGAAACCACGCGAAGGAUGAAAAAUGAAUUUAUGGUGAAUUGGGAGGGGUUGCUUACUAAAGAUGACGAACGUGUAGUGGUUCUUGCAGCCACCAACAGGCCCUAUGAUCUUGAUGAGGCGGUCAUUAGAAGGUUACCUCGCAGAUUAAUGGUGAACCUUCCUAAUGCGCCGAAUAGAGAGAGGAUUUUGAAGCUGAUACUGUCCAAAGAAGCGUUGGCAGAAGAUGUGAGUCUUGAGUCAGUUGCCAGUAUGACUGAUGGAUAUUCAGGAAGUGACUUGAAGAAUCUCUGUGUGACAGCAGCAGGGCGGCCCAUUCACGAUCUCCUAGAGAGAGAACAAAAGGAGAAGAGUCUGGCGAUAAUCGAAGGUAGGCCUGAGCCUGCGCUGCUUACAGCUGACGACAUCCGGCCUCUUAGAAUGGACGAUUUCAAAUCGGCCCAUGAUCAGGUGUGCGCUAGCGUGCCACUUGACUCCGAAAACAUGAGGGAACUUAUUCAGUGGCACGACCAGUAUGGCGACGGCGGAUCAAGGAGGAAGAGCAAAGAACAGGCCAGCAGCUACUACAUGUAG